rnacentral:tRNA from 1 species
GCCUUCGUAGUGUAGUGGUCAGCGCGUUUGGCGAGUAUUCGAGAGGUCUGUGGUUCGAGUCCCGGUGAGGGCA